rnacentral:lncRNA from 1 species
CUUAGCCAGGGAAUGCGGUUAGUCGAAGCAGAGAGCAAACGGAGCGGAACCGAUCGACUAAGCGGCUCAGAGCGAGCAUCUCCUAGUCAGGCCAGAAGGGCCGACAAGGCCCAAUCGGUAAAAGGAGAUUAGGUUAAGGUAAUCGAACAGAGUAUAAAAGGAGAGGAAAGCAAAGGAGAAAGGUAUCGACACUUAGCUACACAAACUUAGCGGCGAGAUUAGGGUUUAUCAUCCGUACAAUCAUCUCUCUGCUAUUUGUACUUUUCCGGUUUAAGCUCUUACGAGCUCCGGCUUGCUUUUACUUUCUCCACCUUUGUAACAUC